AGGUGCGAUCAUACCAGCACUAAUGCACCGGAUCCCAACAGAACACCGCAGUUAAGUGUGCUUGGGCGAGAGUAGUACUCGGAUGGGUGACCUCCUAGGAAAUCCUCGUGUUGCACCUC
rfam:Vigna angularis cultivar Jingnong 6 C3069059_1, whole genome shotgun sequence.